GUCAAGCCUGAGGAGUCCUUUUCACAAGCAUCACAAUAAUAAGAAGGGGUUGUGAGCAAAACGAGUUGGCAUGGAUGAAAGAAGACUUGAAGCUUUUGAGGUAACAUAUCCUUGCAAGACUUGUGAAUAUAAAAGUUGCACGGUCGGCAAUUAUACACAUUAUCUGAGCAGACCUUUUCACAUAUUUGGCACAAAACUUCAUCUCCCAUCUUAGCAAGAAAC
rnacentral:misc_RNA from 1 species